AGGGUGUGCUCAGAGCAGGUGGCCUGAAGAAUGGCUUCUCUGUUUAUAACACAUCCAACAGGAAUUUAAGGUCACUGUGACAAGGGGCACAAAAUUUGUGACUUCCCAUUGAGCAAAUGUCCCACAUAU
ensembl:snoRNA